GGAAUAUUGGUCAAUGGGCGUAAGCCUGAACCAGCCAAGUAGCGUGCAGGAUGACGGCCCUAUGGGUUGUAAACUGCUUUUAUACGGGGAUAAAGUCGCCCACGUGUGGGUGUUUGUAGGUACCGUAUGAAUAAGGACCGGCUAAUUCCGUGCCAGCAGCCGCGGUAAUACGGAAGGUCCGGGCGUUAUCCGGAUUUAUUGGGUUUAAAGGGAGCGCAGGCGGGAGCUUAAGCGUGACGUGAAAUGUAGCCGCUCAACGGCUGAGUUGCGUCGCGAACUGGGUUUCUUGAGUGAGUACGACGCGGACGGAAUUCGUGGUGUAGCGGUGAAAUGCUUAGAUAUCACGAAGAACCCCGAUUGCGAAGGCAGUCCGCGAGUCCUUUACUGACGCUAAAGCUCGAAGGUGCGGGUAUCGAACA
rnacentral:rRNA from 1 species